UAGUUUCCUCAGAUCCAAAUUGAGUUUCUCCUCCAUCGCACUCUGCUGCUGUCUUCCGUGGCGUCGUCCUUGUCCGUCGUUGGGUGGUCAUCGUCCGUCUGCAUCGUCCACGGGUCCACGGUCCGUGCUCUGCUCCGCUUGUCUGCCUUUCCCAUUGCAUCGCCUCGUCUCGCCUUGUCUCACCGUGCCUCGCCUCAAAUCGCCGCUGUUCAACUCCGUCUUGCUCCCUGGAUUGGCUCUGCAACAACGUGUGGCUGCUAAAAAAUUAUGGUAGCGACUAAAAUGGGGAUUAAAAUGAGGAUGAAGCAGUAGGAAGAGUAUGAUGGCGAUGGUGCUGCUGCUGUUUAUUCCACACAGAAAAUGGUGUUUGCUUACUAUGCCACUGGUCAUGAAUUUGGCCACGCAACUCGUGUUGCGGAGAUGGUGAGGCAUCUAAUCCUUGCUGGUCAUGAUGUUCAUGUGGUCAUUGCUGUUCCGGAAUUUGUUUUCACCAAUGAAGUGCAUUCUCCUUGCUUAUUCUUUCGCAAGAAAAAAAAAGCACAUGCUUUACUACGUGUAAUGAUAAUUGUACUUACCUUGAAUUAAACAUUGGGUUGACAAUGACUCAACAUCUUAAAACAGGUAACUCUUUUGCUAUCUCUCUAUAUCCCAAACCCACUUCAUCUUCUCCAACAUAAUCUUAUUUUUAUUUCCAAAUUUCUAUACCUCAUUCAAAUUCUGCGUCUUCUACUCUUUUGCGGAAAACACAAAACUGAUUCCUCUCUUUUCACACUGUUAAGUCGAUGCCUACUUUUGGAAACAUAUAGUAUGGGUAUACAAUGUUAAUUUUGGUUUUUUUUCCUAAUUUCUUCUUCUUUGUUCUUCAUGUAUAGGGACAUUUAAUGAUUCUUCAGGGACUCAUCAAUUUAAUGCAGUUCGGUUGUGCACCUCCAUUCUUGUAAAGAUACUUCUAAGUCUAUUGAAGCUUGUUUUGUUAAUUCAAGGAUCAAAACUUGAAAAUGAUGAAAGGAUUUUCUUUCUUUUUCUUAUUUGUCUUACACCCAAAUGGAAGGCCUUUUAUUACCUUUCUUGGUGUUGCUCCUGCUUGCUUUCUCGUGGCCUUUGUUGGAUUUGCAAGAAACAAAUUGAAGCGAAGUUGGAAUAAGCUCAAUUUGGAGAGCAAGGGAACCUGGUCAAGAAUGAUUUCACGAGGUGUGGUUUCUGCAUCGAUACAAAAGCAAAAUUUAUGGAAGACACCAUCCUCAUAGAAAAUCAAAAGAAGAAGUAGAUGAUGUAGAACAGAAUUUUGCUAAAACCGAUAAAUUAAUUUAGGAUAGCUGAUAUGAAUUAUUCUAUUUAUAAGAAAGAGAGAGCUUAAAAAGUGACUAUCAACUUUUGUCAUGAGAAAGGCAAGAGAGUUAGGAUGUGAGAAUAUCUAGAAAAAGCCAUGAGGUGUUUGAGAAUUUUGUUUUGUAUUUGGUUUGAAUUGAUAUUUGUAACUUGAAUUCGUUUAUAGUGAAUUUCUACCAUUUGUUGUUGUGGAGACUGAAUGUAGAUCUCACUUUUAGAGUCGAACCAGGACAUAUUGUAAUCUUUUCUAUUAUAGCUUUCAUCCAAAAUAUCAUUAAAAUUGUCAUCUGAAUA